AGGAGUCACAGGACUGUUUGAGUUGAGCACGAUUCGGAUGAUCUGAUCAGGGUUGACAAUUUAACCCUGUGUCGUCCUAAACACAGAGGUCAAAAGGAUGAAUUAUACAGUAACCAUAUUCACGUAGGUUCUGAGUGUUGCGAUUGCGACCAUUCGACCUAUCCGAUCAUCGGGUACCAUUGCUAGAUGGUCACUUCGAUUAGUACAGAAAUUGGUUC
rnacentral:lncRNA from 1 species